rnacentral:rRNA from 1 species
ACGAACGCUGGCGGCAUGCCUAACCCAUGCAAGUCGAACGAGACCUUCGGGUCUAGUGGCGCACGGGUGCGUAACGCGUGGGAACCUGCCCUUAGGUUCGGAAUAACUCCCCGAAAGGGGUGCUAAUACCGGAUAAUGUCUUCGGACCAAAGAUUUAUCGCCUUUGGAUGGGCCCGCGUUGGAUUAGCUAGUUGGUAGGGUAAAAGCCUACCAAGGCGACGAUCCAUAGCUGGUCUGAGAGGAUGAUCAGCCACACUGGGACUGAGACACGGCCCAGACUCCUACGGGAGGCAGCAGUGGGGAAUAUUGGACAAUGGGCGAAAGCCUGAUCCAGCAAUGCCGCGUGAGUGAUGAAGGCCUUAGGGUUGUAAAGCUCUUUUACCCGGGAUGAUAAUGACAGUACCGGGAGAAUAAGCUCCGGCUAACUCCGU